rnacentral:lncRNA from 1 species
ACUAAGUUUGAAGAAAAAAACAAAACAAUAACAUCUAACAGAGCAAUCCGUCUUACAGAGAAUCUUAUCCCUCCCUUGGAAGUGGAUUGAAAAGCAUUGUUAUAAAAUCCCAGUGCAGAUUUUAUUAUGGGCUAAAUCAAAAUGCUUUGGAGUUUUUGGAAUUCAGAUCUGAAGUUCAAUGUUUCAGCCCAUAUGCUCCAUCUAAAAAAUUUCACUAGAGAUCCUACCAACAUUAAAUACUCUGUGAAGCCUCAGGAGCUCCUGAGAUGAUGGAUGACAUCAAGAGCCAAAAGAACAUGUACAAAGCAUCUGCAGAAAGAGAUCCUUAAUGACUGUGUGAAGUCUGUUGAUUUGUUGCCAGCACAUGCUCUCACUCUCCACGGCAGUGUUUGCAACAAUGGGAUCCUCACUUUGGAAAUUUCAGCUGCUUAUAGGAAGUUUAGGUGUUCAAAAUGGCCACUGCAACGGGCUUGUAUAACAUCUAAGGCACAGAAAUCCACCAUAAUUUUGAAGAAUAAAGUGGGAAUUCAUUUUUCAUUAUUGGAAGAAAUACUCUGUUUUCUGCUAUUACAAGGAAUGAUCAAAGACUCGGAGCCCUUUGGAAAGAGUUUCCAAUAG